UACGUAGGGGGCUAGCGUUGUCCGGAUUUAUUGGGCGUAAAGGGCGCGUAGGCGGCCGAUCAAGUCAGAUGUGGAAGUCCUGGGCUUAACCUGGGGACUGCAUUUGAUACUGAUUGGCUUGAAUGCAGGAGAGGAUAGCGGAAUUCCCAGUGUAGAGGUGAAAUUCGUAGAUAUUGGGAAGAACACCGGUGGCGAAGGCGGCUAUCUGGACUGUGAUUGACGCUGAGGCGCGAAAGCGUGGGGAGCAAACAGG
rnacentral:rRNA from 1 species